rnacentral:tRNA from 1 species
GAGAGUGUAGCUCAGUGGUAGAGUUUGUGCCUAGCAUGCAUGAGCCCCUGGGUUUAAUCCCCAGCACUCCA